AUGCAAGUCGAGCGGAGACAGUGAGUAGCUUGCUAUGAGCUGUUUUAGCGGCGGACGGGUGAGUAACGCGUGAGCAACCUUUCCCAGACAGGGGAAUAACACACCGAAAGGUGUACUAAUACCGCAUAAGACCACGGGAUCACAUGGUUCUGAGGUAAAAGAUUUAUCGGUUUGGGGUGGGCUCGCGUCCGAUUAGGUAGUUGGUGAGGUAACGGCCCACCAAGCCGACGAUCGGUAGCCGACCUGAGAGGGUGAUCGGCCACAUUGGGACUGAGACACGGCCCAAACUCCUACGGGAGGCAGCAGUGGGGAAUAUUGGGCAAUGGAGGAAACUCUGACCCAGCAACGCCGCGUGGAGGAAGAAGGUUUUCGGAUCGUAAACUCCUGUCCUUGGAGACGAGUAGAAGACGGUAUCCAAGGAGGAAGCCCCGGCUAACUACGUGCCAGCAGCCGCGGUAAUACGUAGGGGGCAAGCGUUGUCCGGAAUAAUUGGGCGUAAAGGGCGCGUAGGCGGCUCGGUAAGUCUGGAGUGAAAGUCCUGCUUUUAAGGUGGGAAUUGCUUUGGAUACUGUCGGGCUUGAGUGCAGGAGAGGUUAGUGGAAUUCCCAGUGUAGCGGUGAAAUGCGUAGAGAUUGGGAGGAACACCAGUGGCGAAGGCGACUAACUGGACUGUAACUGACGCUGAGGCGCGAAAGUGUGGGGAGCAAACAGGAUUAGAUACCCUGGUAGUU
rnacentral:rRNA from 1 species